rnacentral:lncRNA from 1 species
GGCAUAUAAGUGUCGAUGAUGAGAGGCAGCCGGAAGAAGACUCAUCUAAAUCUCCUGCUGAUUACACUCAAACUUUGAGGAGGUCCAAAAAAAUGGUGUCCUCCGUCAGAGUAACCUUGGGUUCCCCGCAGACCCCUGCACUAGUCAGUUCUUCCCCAACCCAAGGACACAAUGCACCUGUGGCAAGUCCCAUCGAGAAAGCCCAAACAAAGAGCAGCAUGAAUGAAAGUAGCAAAGUUGAAUCCUCCAAUUCAGUAUUAGAUAGCACAACAGACAGCCUUUUGUUAAGCAGUGAUAAUGAUAAUAGUGUACAGACCUCUAAUUUAAAUAGCUCGGAAUCAAAAAUUAAUGCAAUAAAUGUAGCCUCUAGUUUAGAUAGGUGUUCGUCAAACGACAAAAUUUAUCCCACAGAGUCUUCUUUGCACUCUGUCUCUGAACAAGCAGACCAAAAUUCACAGCUUGCAGACCCUACGAAUUUCUGCUCUGAGUCCGUUAGCCCUAUAUCGCGGACCACAAAUCACCAUCCUCAGACUGUGGCCCCCUCAUCUCAAUCAGCAGAAGCGGUUUCUCAAUCAGAUGAAAAUGUGCCAAAGUCCCCAGAUCGAUUAUCACAAUCAACGGAUAAUGUUCCGCAGGCAGAGUCAAGCAGCCCGAGCAAGCCGAAUGUGCAUUUCAAUAUCGGGUCCGACCUGAAUGGUGACCUCUUAAGAUCAACUACAACUAUGUGCAGUAGUUCGAUAAGUGAAGAGGACUCGGGAUUCGUUAGCUCGGAAGCGAAUCUCGGAACAUCCUUCACAUUUGAUCCAGAUGUGAAAGAGGUGGAUGCAGGGCUCCAGAUCAAUGACUUGAGCAUACAGUAUUUGGACGAUGACGUUGAGUCUUCAUCUUCAGAUAAUCCGCAGCGGAGAUAUGAACAUGAUGAUAUUGUUGAAGGUUUGGCAGAAGAUGGUGAAGUUGAAGAAGAAGUUUCCAAACUUAAUCAUUUGAGCGAUCCUGAAAUAAUGGAGCCAACCAUAGUUUGCAAAAGUAUCUCAAAUGUAGAGGAAGUUCCGUCUACACCCAACUCCCAUUCUCCUGCGUUAGACGUCAGUCAGCCAACUCCUGAUCGACCAGCACCCUUAGACACAAGUUUGAUGACCCCUGAUGAAGCAGAUAACCUUCUAAGUACAAGAAUUCUAUCAAAAAGGGGUGUGUUGGAAAGACUGCUGUCAGACGAAGAAGCACAGGAAGUAGUCCGACUUCUCUCUCCAACACCAGACAUAUCAAGUACCUUGCCAGAAAAGUAAGUUUUCGACAUCUAUUAGAUGUCAGUGGUCUCAUCUUCUAUAAAUUAUGAUUAAACAAGAACUGUAGAUUUGAAAUGAGGUGCCAUGUCCUGAAAGAAGAGUUCAUACUCAAUUUUAAAAUGGACGUAUUUCUACCAAACAGACCUAUGUGGAGGUGCGAAAUAUGGGGUGUGCUCGUUAGUUCUCUGGCCGUAAGAGUGAAUGAGAAUAAUAAAGCGCCAGUGACGUCAGCGGCAAUGAUGGAGCCGAGCAACGAGGGGGAGCUGGUCGUCGGGGCGCUUUAACUCAUGAGCCCUGUCCACAACGCUCUCGUCCCAUCCUCGCGGCUCAUGUAUCCCGCAUUCAGAUGGCACAUAGGUCUGUUUGAUAGAAUGUAAAAUCCCGCAUUUCCAGUUCUUCAAAAGGAAUCACGCCCUCUUUUACAUUGUUUCUUAUGCAGCUUUUUAGAGCACACCCCAUAUUUCUCACUUGCACAUAGGUCUGUUUGGUAGAAAUACGUCCAAAUGUCCAAAGGCUUAGUUCUGAACCUUUCUAGUUAUUUUUAAAACAAUUCUGUCAUCAGAUUUUUUACAUCCCUGCUCGAACAAGUCCCAUUAUUUUAAGUUAAUUAUAAAAAGCACUUGUUGUUGGCUCUUAUAUUUGAAUAUCCUUAUGAACAUAGAAUGGGAUGUAGGAUUACCUGAACUAGUUACCACAUUAUUUUUUCUCCUUUUGCCCUCUCUCAUUUAGCAUUUUUAUUGUCAAAUUUUUAUGUUUAAUUUCUGCUCUUAGGACACCGCAUGACUUAAUCACCGAGGAUUCCAAAUGUACAUUCGUAGACUCAACAUCAAACAUAGAAGACUCGGCAGUUUCAAGUCACGUAGAAUCUGAGUAUGGGUCAGAAACAAAUCUGCAGGACCUGAAUUCAAGUAGAAUAAGCUCCGUGAAUAGCUUAGACGAUUUGGAUCUCACGCGCUCAUCACACUUGGACCAAAAUGAACCCCCGCCGGUAGCUGAGCCAGAGGCAGAACCUGAUCUCUAUGAAGGGUUCGUCCCUGAAGCGUGCAAAGAAGUAAGUUGUAUCCUCAAAAUCAAAUAAGGUGCUUGUAUUACUUCAUCCCUCCAUUAUGUUCACAGUUAUUGUAGUGUUCUCACUGCUAACGCAUUGCCAGGAUGAGACUGUUACACGAUUGAGGAUUAACUUGAAAAUAGGUGCCCCCUUGACUAAUUUUCGCCAGGAAUAUUUUUCUGGACCAUGAAUAAAGAUCAAAACCACUUUUUAAGUGAAAGCCAGAUACUCUAAGUUGGAAUACUAAUUGGAUUAAAUUUUGCAAUAAGGAACCACUAUCUCUGGUUUUCCCAUAAAAGCACAUAUCUGCAUAGGGAAACCAAUAGCACGUAUGUUGUUUCUGAAAUGGGCCAGAAAUAGUGGUUCCUUACUGCAAAACGUAAUCCAAUUAUAACAUUUCUCAUUGGCUUGCCAGUUGUGACAUCCCAUGUAGCAGUGACUCAUAGUUGCGACAACCUUGAGUCUCCUAAGCUUGCACAACACUACUUUGGCAGCCAUAUGACUCGCACGUAUGUCAUAAUCAAAACGUGGCAGAAAUUUUUUCAAACAUCUACAUACUUCUUUACUAUUACACUUUAUGUAUUUCAUUGAUAUCAGCAUCCCAAAUUCACCUAUUCCAAAAAAAAAUUAACCAUCAAACCAAAUUUUAUAUGACUUCCAUAACACUCAUCAUACACUUUGGUAAUUGUUUUUGACGUUUUAUUUUUAAAAUUUUUAAGGUCUUUGAAGAAGAUGGCGUGCAUUAUUAUGAAGAUGGACAUUUUUGGAUGGAGGUUCCUGGUUUACCCAGCCAAUCUGUGUAUGAAGAGGGCGAUCCAACACCAAGUAAACCUAGUUCCAAAGUAUCCUUCAGCACCGGGCCAAUUAAGGUAACUUAAUUAUUUAUUUAUUAAAAAAGCAAACUAAGAAAAGUCCUCGGUCAGAAUUUUGUUGGCUGUGGUCAGUCCCUGAUGAAGUAGAUAUAACCUACAAAGCCAUUCCCAGAGGUUACAAUCGAUUUAUAAGCGCCUGCAGCUGGAUGUAAUCUUCAAAAUAUUGAUAAAUAAAAUUUGGCUCUAAAAAUUCAAUUGUAAAACUAAAAAUUGUGUAACAUGAUCAUUGUUUUAGUGUCAUAAUAUUUUUUCUCCUCUGUCAUAAUAUACACAAAGAAAUAAUGUCUUACAAUUUUAAAUUAUUUGUGCCACCAAUAAAGACAGGCGAAGCAAUAUUAAUUGUAUCAAAAUUUUCCUACGUUACAACAUGCAUUUCCUAAAUUUUGAAUGACAGUGUGCCUGCAUAUCUUUGAUGACACUGCAGAAACAAUCUUCUAAAUGUUGUUUGUUUUUAAUGGUCCCGAGGCUUCUGCUAAAUCUACUGACACAAAUGGAUUUUACUGGUGUUUCAUCAAUUUUUUUAAUACGAGUUCUCCAAAUUGUUUAGUAUGAGUAAUUUAUUAUCUUUUCAUUUCAGGUUUAUAGUACAUUUUCCAUGUCUGAAUACGAUCGACGAAAUGAGGAUGUCGAUCCUGUAGCAGCCUCAGCCGAGUAUGAGCUUGAAAAGCGAGUGGAAAAGCUGGAGCUCAUGAGCGUGGAACUGGAAAAGGGAGCAUCUGGUCUCGGUUUGAUCAUCAUUGGAAUGGGUGUUGGUGCGGAUGCUGGACUAGAGAAAUUGGGUAUCUUUGUAAAGAUGCUUACUGAGCAAGGUGCAGCCGCAAAGGAUGGUAGGAUCCAGGUUAGUAGAGACAAAAUUCAAGUAUGGUUAUAUUAUCAUUUAGCAUUUUCUUUGGUUUGGGAUCAGGCUAGCAAACAGGAUUUUUCCUUGGAAAUCCUGGCUGAAAUCUAAUUUUUCAGAAAACAUUGAUGGACAGGCCCAUAAACUGCCGUGCUUAGGAAGAACGCCGUAUAAGCAGCCAAGAGUUGCCGAAUUUCCCGUUAUAAAACACCUAUUUUUGACAAAAUUCAUGCAUAUUUUUGACAUUUUCAGAUAUUUUAGAUUAAAUUGUGUACAAAACUGUCUUGACAAUUUUGAAAAAUAAUAUUCGCAAUUUUCCCAGUAAAUUCGGUUUUUAUCGGAGGAAACCUGGCAACAUCUGAAUGCUCGUAUGAUGUUUUUCCUUAGCACGGCAGUUCAGUAGGGUCUCGCUAAGUCGGAACCCGCUUUAGUAGGAAACCCCACUAACUCAGUAACCAUUCGAAAUUCCAGAAGGAAAUAAUACGUCCGUUUAAAUGGGAAACCCUGCUGAGUUGGAAUGAAUCCUCGAUCCCGAUGCAUUCCGACUUGGCGAGGUUCUACUGUACGUGUGGGUGCACAGCUAAGUCGCUGUACUGUUGACACAAAACACUGAAAACUAUCUCUUGUUCCUUGUUCCCUCCUUUUGACUUUCCUGGAAAACUUCGAGCCAUAAAUAGAGCUCUAAUUCCUUCAGGAAAAAUAAGGAUAAAUCAAGGUAAACAGGGGAAAAAAUCUAUAAAUCAGGCAAGUUUUGCGUUUACUAUAGUGGCAAAUUUUUGUGCUGUCAUUUAGCUUAAAUUUGUCCACUAACAGAAUCAGGAAAUCUUAAAAUUAUUAUACAUCAUCCUGUGUUGUCUCAAGAGUCUGAGAAUCCUCUCCAAAUUGGUCGAGAGAAUUCUAAAAUAGUUAAGUAAUUUAAAUGCCAAAUUUAUGUAGUCACCUAGAAACAAGUUAUGUGCCACCUUGUAAACAACUAAUUGAUUAAAUCCUCGUCGUUUUAGAAACACAACCUAUGUACAGUCAUUGUAGUGGGAAUAUUUCAUUUUUAGGUCAGUGACCAGAUCAUUGAGGUGGAUGGAAAAUCCUUAGUGGGGGUGACGCAGGCAUAUGCAGCAUCAGUUCUGCGAAAUACAUCUGGCAAAGUGCGGUUCAUCAUCGGCCGUGAGAAGGACCCGGAAAACAGUGAAGUUGCGCAGCUAAUCCGGCAGUCGUUGCAAGCAGACCGAGAGC